rnacentral:rRNA from 1 species
CGUAGGUGANCUGCGGAGGAUCAUUAUCGUACAAAAAUGUGAGGGGCAUGCGAGGGCUGUCGCUGACUCAAAGUCGUGCACGCCCGGGUGUGUCCCCUCACAUAAUAAUCCAUCUCACCCUUUGUGCAUCACCGCGUGGGCACCCUUUGGGAUCAUCUCGGAGGGGGCUCGCGUUUUCACACAAACCCCCCUUUUAAAAAGUGUAGAAUGUCCUCAUUUAUGCGCUAACCCGCAAUCAAUACAACUUUCAACAACGGAUCUCUUGGCUCUCGCAUCGAUGAAGAACGCAGCGAAAUGCGAUACGUAAUGUGAAUUGCAGAAUUCAGUGAAUCAUCGAAUCUUUGAACGCACCUUGCGCCCCUUGGUAUUCCGAGGGGCACACCCGUUUGAGUGUCGUGAAAACCUCAACCUCCUUGGUUUCUUCUGGAGACCAAAGCAGGCUUGGACUUUGGAGGCCUUUGCUGGCACCUCUUUUGGAGGCCAGCUCCUCUUAAACGAAUUAGCAGGGUCCUCUUUGCUGAUCCUUGACGUGUGAUAAGAUGUUUCCAUGUCUUGGUUUCCGGCUCUGUCACUUUUGGGACCCGCUUNUAACGGCGCUGGGACAUUGCGUCGAGACAAUGUUCGAGCAUGUCUCCCUUCUCGGGAAGCUCCCUCGACCCCACGAACCCUUGACCUCGAAUCGGGUGAGACUACCCGCUGAACUUAAUCAU